ACUAGGGGGGAGGAGGAGGAUAGAGGGGUGAGGAAAAGAAAGUGGGAGAGGGGGGAAGACGAAAGAGAGGGCUAGUGAGUAAGACCUCAGCAGGCAGUGUUGGACAGAGAGGCUGCAGAUUCCUCUCUGGCUCCAUUGAGCAUACUGAGUGGCAGAUCUGCAUGUUGAAGCAGCCCUUUGAAAACACAGAAGCAGCUCACAGCACACUGCACAUUGUAUAUUCCCAGCACGUCCCUAGCUCAUUUUUUUUUUUUUGCUUUUUGCCUCAGCCUCAGUAGAAGCAGAUAGGAAAAGAAAGACAGAGAGGGAGAACCAGCAAUCCUUAAACUCAGCCUUUUUUCCCCCCGGAUGUACUAUAUAUUCUCCUGCAAACUGACGUUAUAGAAUAUGCUGAUUUUAUUUCUUCCAUCAUUACUGCUGUCUGUGACAAGUGGAAAAGCUUUGCUAAUUAAUCAGCAAUGAAACCAUCUCCAAGAGAAACUCGUCUUAAAGGACGGAUGUUGUGGCUAAUUCUUCUAAGCACAAUUGCUCUUGCAUGGACGACACCAAUUCCUUUGCUUGAGGAUUCAGAGGAAAUAGAUGAGCCUUGCUUUGAUCCUUGCUACUGUGAAGUAAAGGAAAGUCUUUUCCACAUUUAUUGUGACAAUAAAGGAUUUACAAAUAUUAGCCAGAUUGCUGAAUCCUGGACAAGACCUUUCAAACUGUACCUUCAAAGAAAUUCAAUGAGAAGAUUGUACACCAACAGUUUUCUUCACUUAAACAAUGCUGUGUCUAUUAAUCUUGGGAACAAUGCUUUGCAGGACAUUCAGGCAGGAGCCUUUAAUGGUAUGAAAGUUUUGAAGAGGUUAUAUUUGCAUGAGAACAAAUUGGACAUUUUUAGAAAUGACACAUUUAUGGGGUUAGAGAGCUUGGAAUAUCUGCAAGCUGAUUAUAAUGUCAUUAAGAGGAUCGAGAGUGGGGCCUUCAGAAAUUUAAAUAAAUUGAGAGUUUUAAUCUUAAAUGAUAACCAUAUUCCUUUGCUUCCAACCAAUUUAUUCAAGUCAGUGUCUUUAACACACUUGGACUUGCGUGGAAACCGAUUAAAGGUCCUUUCUUACAGAGGCAUGUUGGACCAUAUUGGAAGGAGCAUUAUGGAGAUCCAGCUAGCUGAAAAUCCCUGGAACUGCACCUGUGAGAUUGUCCAGUUGAAGAGCUGGCUGGAACGUAUACCAUAUACUGUCCUGGUGGGAGAUAUAACGUGUGAAAGCCCCUUUCACUUUCAUGGCAAGGAUCUAAGGGAUAUAAAACGUAGUAAGCUCUGUCCCUUAUUGUCUGAAAGUGAAGUGGAAGCAAGCUUGGGGAUACCCCAGUUACCAUCCAGUAAAGAAAACACAUGGCCCACUAAACCGUCAUCAAUGUUAUCCUCAUUUCAUGUUACUGCUUCCUCUGUGGAAUACAAGACAGCCAAUAAACAACCAACAACCACCAGACAGCCUAGAGUCCCAAAGCCACCACCCACACCCAGAGGCCUUUACCCAGGCCCAAACCAACCUCCAAUAGCUGGAUACCAGACAAGGCCACCUAUUCCGAUUAUAUGCCCCACUGGAUGUUCCUGUAGUUUGCAUAUCAAUGACUUGGGAUUGACUGUAAAUUGCAAGGAAAGAGGGUUCCAUAACAUUUCAGAACUUCUUCCUAGACCACUCAAUGCCAAGAAACUGUAUUUGAGUGGAAAUGUAAUACAAAAAAUCUAUAGAUCUGACUUUUGGAAUUUUUCUUCUUUGGAUUUAUUGCACCUUGGAAACAACCGUAUAUCAUAUGUACAGGACGGAGCUUUCAUCAGUCUACCAGGUUUAAAAAGUUUGUAUAUGAAUGGGAAUGAUAUUGAAAGAUUGACACCUGGCAUGUUUAGAGGCUUGCAGAGUUUGCAUUAUUUGUAUUUUGAGUACAAUGUGAUAAGGGAAAUACAACCUGCCGCUUUCAGUCUGAUGCCAAAUUUGAAAUUACUGUUUCUCAAUGACAAUUUGCUGAGAACACUUCCCACUGAUGCUUUUGCGGGCACAUCUUUGGCCAGACUCAACCUGAGAAACAACCAUUUUCUAUACCUUCCUGUGACGGGAGUAUUGGAGCACCUUAAUGCCAUUGUGCAGGUAGAUCUCAAUCAGAAUCCGUGGGAUUGCUCCUGCGAUAUUAUUCCUCUAAAGCAUUGGAUAGACACUAUUAGCUCUGUCAUUGUAGUGGGGGAGGUCUUGUGUGCAAGCCCAGAGAACCUGACAAAUAAGGAUCUAAAAUCAAUUGAAAUAGGUGUGUUGUGUCCAGAACUGCUGCAUGCUACUGCCGCCUCACCUGCUCUGCCUGGUAAUAUGGUGCCCACAAGUUCCUCAGUAUUUGAGUUUACCACACCAGGGGGUGCCAUUCCACUUUCUGUUCUGAUCCUGAGUCUUUUAAUCCUGUUUUUCUCUGCUGUUUUUGUGGCUGCAGGCCUUUUUGCUUUCGUGCUGAGAAGACGUAAGAAACAUCCUUUCAGAAAGAGACAAGAGGUGGAUUUGACUGGCAUUCAGAUGCAAUGCAGAAUCUUUGAGGACAGACCAAACAACUCCCCAGAGAAGGCCCCUGGCCAUGUUUAUGAUUACAUCCCACAUCCAGUAACCCAGAUGUGCAACAAUCCUAUCUACAAACCCAGAGAGGAAGAAAUGGGUGAGGAAUUUUCAGAGACAAAGGAAAACAACACUAAUUAUAGGACCUUAAUAGAAAAAGAAAAAGAGUGGACCAUGGCAGUGUCAAACUCUCAGCUAAACACAAUAGUUACUGUAAACCAGUCUGGGGAAGUACCAAGUUUUCAUGAAAAUGGAAUGAUAUUUCCUGGUGUGAUGGAUCGAGAAAGGCCUGCUCCAACAGUGGGGUUUGUGGACUGCUUGUACGGCACAGUGCCCAAAUUAAAGGAACUGCACGUACACCCUCCUGGCAUGCAAUACCCUGACUUACAACAGGAUGCCAGACUAAAAGAAACCCUUCUUUUCUCUGCUGGAAAAGGGUUCUCAGACCAAACCCAAAGUGAAUACCUUGAGUUAAGGGCCAAACUCCAAACUAAGCCAGAUUACCUCGAAGUCCUGGAAAAAAACACUUAUAGAUUCUAAUAUAGCAUCAUUUCAUAGUGCCCAAAAACGCAUGAUUCAAGAUUAUACCGUUUUGCUCCCCAAAUUGUUUUGGAGGAAAGGGCCAUACUCUAAAUUUAAUUAAUCAAAGUGCCUUCGCAGACUUUUGCCAGCAAUGUUAUCAAUCAUUAUUUUUUAUAUAGGAAUCUAAGAAACUUGACUGUGCCAUGUAAGGUAUGGGGGUAUUUGUACUGAUCCUAAUAACUAAUUCCACGUGUCCUUUCUUGGCAGUAACUUAAAUCUUUUCACUUGGGGGGAAUAGAACGGCAUUGUGGCUUCCUUAUAAAAAGCAACGCCCAUGGCACAGUUCCUGUAUAUUGAUGCAGUUUGCUGCAUGUCUAAAAACUGCAGGGGAGGGUAAUGCUCGAAUGUUCUCACCCAAAACAUUUAUGAUCCAUCCAUUUUUGUUUCUACAAUACAACCAACAAAACCCUGGAGUUACUGCAAUGCUUUAUUGUUCAAUGUUUAUUUGAUUUACCCCAUGUUUCAAUGCAGAAAAGCAAUCAAUGUUCACAAGACAGCUAGGGAUCAACAUCUUUGUGAAAUCAUGAUGACGCCAAGAUUUUCUGCAGUUCACUGCACUUUCUUUAGAAAUGCUACUGGUUUCAUUAUAUUUGGAUGCUCAGUCCUAUGGUGAGUUUGGACGAGAUGCCAUGUCCAGAAAAUGUUUGGAUGCGGGUGAUCAGUAUACUGCAGUAUUGUGUUGCAUCUUCUACUUGGAAAGCUUAUGUGAAGAUUUGGUCUUCAGGAUGGUUUGCAAUUCUAAAUAAAUAUUUUUGGAAUAUUUUUAUCCCAUCAAUAGGUAAUAGUGAUCUUUUGUUUUGUUUUCUUUGUCUUUAAAGAGGAACUGUCAUCGAUCUGUAAAUUACACUAGAACACUGAAAAUCAUCCAUCACUUAUGUUAAUUAUUUUCUUAUGAAAAAUAUAUAUGGAAGAUUUAGCAAGUGUUAUCACAAUCCAGAUCAGCCCAGGCACAGACAAGGCACACAAAGUAAAUGAGAAAAAAAAAAGGACAGUUUCUGCUUUUUCCUCUUUGUCUAUCUUUACUCCAUAACAUAAGUGGCAUAUUUUAAAAAGCGGCUUGGUUAGAGACACUCUAAUUCUAGGAUAGAUGGAAAUGCAUUAGUGUGAAUUUCUACAUUCAUGCUAUUUUCA